rnacentral:rRNA from 1 species
UACGUAGGCAGCGAGCGUUGUUCGGAGUUACUGGGCGUAAAGGGUGUGUAGGCGGUUGUUUAAGUUUGGUGUGAAAUCUCCCGGCUCAACUGGGAGGGUGCGCCGAAUACUGAAUGACUAGAGUGCGGGAGAGGAAAGUGGAAUUCCUGGUGUAGCGGUGAAAUGCGUAGAUAUCAGGAGGAACACCGGUGGUGUAGACGGCUUCUGGGACAUUCCUGACACUGAGGUUCGAAAGCUCGGGGAGCAAACAGG